AUACAUUGCCAAGUGAAUGAAUGUGGAAUUUUAUUAAUCAUCUUUACUUCAUUGUGAUGUCAUCUUCAUUGUUGCUAAUUUUUUUUAUGAUGCUGUUUUGUUAUUUGCCACUGUUUGCAUAAAGAGAAUUUCAAUCUCCACCUGAUGGAACUUUGGACCAGGUAUUGCUCUAGGUUUUCAAUUGAACUACUGUAAUUAUUGUUUGUAGAUGUUUUUGGACUAAAUUAAAAGUUUUAGAGCUGUAAAUGAAUUGCUGUUGGGUAUAAAGGGGUAGGGGGUCAAAACCCUAGUACACCUGCGAUGAAUAUCAGACAUUUGUAUUAAGCAUUUAUUUUGUUGGUUCAGUUCAAAAUAUAAUGUAGACGUGAUAAAGGUGUCUAUUGUGGAUAUCAGCAUUGGUGGAAAGUAUAAAGUAGAUGAGAUUGAAAAACAAAGCCAUGCUUAACUGUUUUAUUUACAUGUGCUUAAAUAAGAUUUUGAAGGAAAACACUGACUUUUUUUAUUGCUUGUUUGGAUAUUACAGACUACACAGUGAAUUGGGGUCUCGCUUUUAAAUUGAAGUUGGCAUAUGGAUUGUGCUAUAUAUUUUUUUUUUUAAUACAUUAUUGAAGAAUAUUGACUGUGAUGAUUUAUUGUGUAGUGCAAGUACAAUUUUGUUGUUUUUAUUACAAUUAGUACUACAUACAUUGUACUUGAUCAUAUUGCCUGUGUGUUUUUACAAUUGUGUUUGAUUCCAAUGUAUAAAUGUUUACUUGGUGUUAUGUUGCUAUUUAUUUUGCUAAUUAAACAAAAUUUGACAUUUUUUCUCAC
rnacentral:misc_RNA from 1 species